rnacentral:lncRNA from 1 species
AUUUUAUGAAAAUUGAUUAUCUCAUUGGAAUUACAUAGAUAUUGGAAAACAUUACUCCAGCCCCACCAUCCCAACCAUUUACUUAGUUCAUCAGUAAAAGCUGGAUUUUCCAUUUGUUCUUGAGAUUCAAAUUAAGGCAACAAGUUGCUCAUUCUAUAUUAUCUAUGUAAUCCUGUAAAAGUGAAGGGCGUUUAGAUGUGGAAAAACCUUACUCCUGCCGCAACACCUCAAACAGAUUGUGAUCAGACAAGACUUAGUUCAUCAUUAGUAGUAGUUGGAGCUUCCAUUUGUUCUAGAGAUUUAAAGGCAGCAAGCUGCUUCCUCAGUGCUACUAAUUCUUCCCCGGCAUUGCAUAUGUAGCCUGAGGCUUGUCUACCAGACAAAGUUGCUCCUUCCAUACUAUCUAUGUAAUCCAGUGAGAGUGAAACCAUUUAGAAGACGUAUCUCUUUCUUUCCAAUAUUUAGAAUGAAACAAUUAUAUACAGUUACCUGUUUUGUAUAUGAGCCGACGAGGAAGAAGUUCUUCACUGGUGUCUUUUGAUCGUGUCUGAAGGAGUCUUUACCAGGUCCCUCACCGCACAAAGAUUGCCCGAUUUUGACAAAAGAUGACCAAAUAACUUCUAAACCUUGGGAUGAUGGAAAUAGAGCUAAAACCUAAUAAAAGGAACCGUGAAUGGAUAGUAUGGACUCAUGUAUAUUAUCCAGAAAGUUGCAUGACCUUUUGUGGUACUCAGGUCACUAAAAAAUGUGAGAUAAACAUCUAGGAUAAGAAAAGCAAAAAAGCAUAACCUAAUACGUAUUAUAUGAAUUGAAGGUGUCACUGAACACUACCAACCUGCUUUGCCACUCUCCUUAUGAUUUCAUCAUUUGGUAAGGGCAUAUAAGGAUCUCCAGGUGUCAAAAUGAAUCUGAAAUAUAAUAUGGCUAUAGUAAGCAACACAGAAUACAAAGACACUUAGCAAAAGGAAGCCAAUCAGAUUCCAUGCACAAAAAAUAACUAAUAAUGACGAGGAUAAGAAAUUUUUCUUACUGGAGCAAUGAACCUUGCCCUUCUCUGUAGUAGUCUUCUGGUGAAGUGAGUGCUAGAUCUGCAAAGCAAGAUAAAUCUGCAUCUGGAGUAUAUGAAAGGUUAUCUAACCCCACAGCUUGCCUCAAUUGUCUACAUGUUCAAAACAAGGAUCUGUUAAAAAAUGGAAAUUUCUUCAAUGCAUUAGUAAAGGGAAGUGAAGUGAAAGCUGAUUUCUUAGGCCUUCACAGAGCAUCAUGUGUUUGAAUUCCGGUAACCUCACAAAAGAUUAGAGCAUCACCUUGACCGUUCUAUGUCUUGCAACUCAGUAACCCAACCAUUGUAUCUAAGCUGCACUGUGACAACAGGAACUCCAACUAGCUCAUAAAUAUUGUUGAAAAAUUUCAUUUCCCUCCACGAUGAUGGAAGCAGUCUUUUAAUUCCAGGGACAUCACAUGCGGCCAUUAAAUAAGAAGUUGAAUAAAGAAAAAUCGUUCAACUAAAUGAUUCAGGAGUUAAAAAAAAAAAUGUAGAAGUAGAAAUAAAUAACGAGGAUUUAACCAUGAACCUGCAACAUAUGCAUCAGCUUGCACAACCUUCUUGUCAGUGGCCUGAAAUAGAAUGAGAAAUUGAAAGACAGUAAGCAUUAAAGAAUAAACUCAAAGAAGCUGCUUCUAACAGAUGAUAUAAACAAUAAAUUUACAAAUGUCAGAUCAUUGCAUUAGCUCUAUGCCUCCAUCAGAGGGAAUAUUAAUAGAUGCAUAAAAAAAUAAUUAGAGCCACAUGUGAAACAAUUUACCUUAGACGUAGCAGAUUUAUCAUAAAGUAUCUCUCUGCAUCCCCACCUAAGAUGGAACCUGUUCUCACAAGAACAGAUCCCAAGGUUGGGAAAAUCAGUUCAUCAUAGGAGAAAACAAAGAAGAUUAACAAAUCACUACAAUGGUGUGAACCCGUAAAUACAAACGUACCUGCCCCCUUUAUCUGUGAUAUAUUUUCUUAUGGGCCCACUCAAAUAAACAUCCGGAGAACCCUUGAGCAUCAGCAAUAGGGAAGCCUCAGUCUUAGUCGCAAACAGUGCAAAUAUAGUAAGCAUACAACGAGCACUGAUGUUAUCACAAUCAAUAAACCCAAGGGCAUACGAAACAGGAUCCCACAUUCUUUGGAACCCUUGGACAAAAACCAAUCAGAGAAGCUUAUCUGUAAGAAGAAAUGAAGUUUUAGGUAAAAUAACAAUCUGUAGGAACAGGGAUUGAAAUUCAACAAACAAGAAAAUAUGAUGUCAUUCUUACACUAUCCAAAUCUCAUAUGUCCUUCAAGGCUCCAUCAGGAUCAACAAGUGCCUUUACAACAGCACUCAGAGCAAGAGCAAGAGCAAGAGCAUUUCUUGCUUUAUCAUAAGUCUGCACUUGAGCAAUUUACGAGGCAAAGUACAUCAAAAGAGAAUCCAAAGGAGGCAAGAAGCUUCAACAUGAAAAAAGGAGUGCUGCCUCAUCAUACUGCUUUGCAAUCACAGUGCAAAAGAUAACAUCAACAAAAUCAAAAUCUAGCAUAAAUCCAUAUGCACUACCUUAAGCUGAUUUGUAGACAAAAGACCCGUUUGGGGCAGCUGCGUGGCAAACGGGUCUUUUGUCUACAAAUCAGCUUAAGGUAGUGCAUACGGGUCCAAAAAUGCGUGAAUCCCAUGUAACGGAGCUCCAAUCAGAAACCCGAAAUCAAGUUCUGGAGUUGAAAAUCAAAAUCAUGAACCAAAUCAGAGUUAUUAUUGAAUUAGACAAUCCAUAAACCAAUAGAAGGUAAAAAAAAAGGAAUAAAAAUUCUUCUAAAUUCUUUCACCAUCAACAAAAUCAGUAAAACACAUACUGAUUCAAAAUGACAUAAAGUUUGUGAAUUGAAAUAAUGCCAACUCCUAAGAAAAAUUAUGACUGCUGAUAUUUUUUCUGAAAUGCUGAUAAAAGCUUCUGCUAUUUACUUUGAAAAAAUAGAGGUUAGAAGCCAAUUUACUUGAAAUUUUGAGUUUAGGCAAGAGGAUGAAUGGCAAAAGUGAAACAUUUUAGGGAAAAAUGUACUUCAGAGGCCAAUGAAAGCAUUCAGAAGAUUGAAAUCUAAAUAAGCAAAACCCCGUGGCCUUGAUCCAACAAAUCCACUGCUGUUGACAUGCCUGCAAGCCCAGCUCCAAUAAUAGCCACUUUCAGCUUUGGUCCUCUAUAAUGUUCCGGUUCUGGUAGAAACAAACCCUUGGGAGCUGCCAAGUAUACCAUCCAAUUAUCCACAGCGAUAAUGGAAAUAUAUAUGUGUUUAAAGGUACUAAAUUCCUAAACAUGAAAUGUAUCCAAAGAGAGACACAAAGCAGAAUUGUGCAAGCAUUUCAAUUCCCAAUAAAUUUUAAGAAUACAAAAUACUCGGUCUGUUCCUCAAUUCCUUUAAUAAAAUUUCCACUAGAGGCUACGGAAGCCACUCAAUAACACUCCAAAGCCAGAUUUUAAAAGUUAUCUUUAACACAAAUUCAAUUCAAAAUUGUUCAAGUGCACCGCCACUUCUCCAUCAAUUCCCUCAAAAAUUCAUAAUUGCCAAACACUACAAACCAAAAAGAGCUUCCAGCAAUAAACGCAUAAAAAUCCACCAAGCAACAUAAAACAAAAUACCCAGAAACCAGAAAAGCCAAACGAUCAAUGCUUGGCAAACAAGCCAAUCAAAUAAAACAAAAAGAAGAGAAAUUUACCAUUAACGCUCAUAUCAGAAACAUUAGUGUCCAAAGAAGCCCGUACACAGAAUCUUGGAUCCUUCACUUGAACCCGAGACCAUGUAACGCCAGUAACUGAAGUUGCAGGAAACAGAACUGAAGAACCCAUAUUGCAAAUCCUGAGCUGAAAUCAAAGAAAUUCAAUUGGAACUCAAUUCAGCUCAACCGAGCGGAGCUCUCUUUUGCUUCAAUAACAAAGUGUUUUUCUUUCAUAUCAACAAAGAUUUGUCAACAUCAACAAAAUUUAACUAAGAAACUAAAAUAAUGCAGUAUCUUUGAGUUUAAGAAUCUAACAAGAUGUUAAGGAAGAGAGUUUUGUCAGGGAACUGUUUCGGAGAGGUUGGCCAAGUGCAUUUUUGUUUUUUUCUUGUUUUGCCCUUUUCAUUAAUGCACAACAUUAGUCCACGUGAAGAGCACAAAAUGCUGGUGGCUUUGUCACUAACGAUAAUGGAUGGAGUGUCCAAAGCAACCAACUAAAUUUUAAAGAGAGGGAAUGAUAAGUAAUAUCUUAAUGGGGUGAUUAAUUAAUUUAUUAUCAAGCAAUUGUAUUUAUUUAUUUAAAAGAUAUCCUUAUCUUUGUACAAGGUUUGAGGAAAGACGACGAUGUUGUGUUGUCACAUAUUUUUACGUUUCUCCAUAAUUCACUGCAACAUCAACUGGGCCACCACCUCUUGCCUCUCCUGGUUCCCCUCAAUUUUCGUAUUCAAUGUCCACCGUUGAUUGUACAUUUAUUAAAAUUCUGUGGUUAUUGUUUUUUUGCAUACAUUUAAUUCCACACGGUCUAUGGAUAGAGCAGGUGCAUCGUAGUUGUGGCCUUAACUGUUAUUGGUAACUCAAUAGCUAAUUCUAAUGUUUCAUCAAGCAGUUUAGAGAUAACCUCUCUCGCUGAACUCCCCGGAGUAACGCAAUCCAGUUUUCCAGUGCAAUCAUCAGACAGUUGAACAGCUUCUGAAUUCCCUUUGCUUUUCUUGUUUUCUUUUCCAUGUAAAGGGAGCUCAGGCUUCAAUAUAUCUGGGGAUUGAGUUCUAAUGAUAAAGACAACAUACGGUAGAGGACACAAAUUGUUAUUAAAGAAUGACGCACUUUUCAACUGAGUACAGUAAAGCAAGAAUGGGUAAUUAGUUUUACCUGCAACGUGAAAAUCUAGACUCCCGACGGUAACCGAUCUUUGGUGAAGCAAAUAAAGAAGAAGGCGAAGUAAAAUUCACUGAGUUGAAUGAGCGAUCAUUGUGUAUGGACUUGAUUUGUUCAAUAGGUGAAAGACUGCUGAUAUAAUUAAAGACUGGAGAAUCCUGCACGUUGACAAGCAUCAUUUUUAAUAUAACAUAGAGUCUUAAAAACCUAGUCAGUGGCAAAUGAUCACGACAAGCAAAAUGAAGUACAAACAGCAGAGCUCAACAAAUCAUUAAGAGAAAAUAAGACCAUUAACCAAGCAGAUAAAAGAAACGCAAAAUAACCCAUCUCAAAUCACCGCAUGCACAAUUUAAGGGGGCUGUUACAUGGGUUUAAGCAUGAUUUAACAAGUGCCACCAGUGAAUUCUCAAAGAUUGAAUUUUCAUACACAUGCAAAUUUCCAAGUCCAACGAAUUGUUGUCUUUCUGAAGAUAUUAACGAUGCAUAGCAUACUAUAAACAAAUCAUAUUAUUAGGGCCUUUCUUUGCUGUACACAACAUAUGUACAGAGGAACAAAUCCAUGAGCUGAAAUCAUCAUAUUCCAAAAUAUUCUACCCAAUCAACACUACAAAACCCUAACGCUAAACAGAAUUGGAGCAAUUUACGAAAGCUAUUUGUCACACAAAGCACUAGUACCUCAGAACCCAAUUUGCAAAAAAGCAACAAAAAUGAAAAAUAACAAAUGCCCAGAUGCAAAAUCAGGAAAAAAUGCUCAAAUCCAAACUACAACCCCAUAAGCUGAGAUUGACCUCAAACUUGGAAACAGAAGCGACAGUGAUCUGUUUCUUAUCUGGAGUGUCCAUUUCUAUAAUCUACUUUGUCCGUUUUCAGUCGCUCCGCCACAAAGCCUCUUCACUCCGAAGCUGAAACUCGCCACACACUUGCAAAACGAAAGCAUUUGAUCGAUUGAGAGGCGGGAAGGCGGGAAAACGAGAGAAAUUUGCUUUUGUUUUUUCUUCGUUUGGUCAUACAUGUGCGGGCCCCAGGUUCACAAGCGUUAUUAUUACUAUUUGAAGGACGCGUGUCAUGCAAUGGCGAGACAAAAAGUGGUGCAAAACUCCAAUGGUCACGAAAUGACGAUAAAAUAAAAAUAUAUCGUUAAUUUUUCACUUAACAUUGGAAUAUCAUAUAAUUUUAAGGUCAUUUUCUCGCCGUUACGCCACAUUCUUUUGAUAAAAUAAUAUGGUAAAACUUUUCUAUAAUCAUGAUAUUAGAACCUAAUUAACUUUAUAUCUAUAAAGAGGUUAUAGCUUAAUAAAGCAAAAUUGUAAAAAAUAUUAUUUUGACUUAAUUAUCUAAAGAGUAAAUAUAUGAUAAUUAAUUAAUAAAUAAUGUCAAAUACAAUAUAUGGACUAUAAUAAAAAAGAUAGACAUAAUUUCAUAAAAUUAAUACAUAUGUUUUUGUAGUGUUGCGAUUAUACAAAGUUAUCUUAAAAGUGUAAAGAGUAAAGUAUUAUUCUAAUUAAUUUUAAAAAAUAUUUUAUUAUUAACCUUUAAUGCAACAUAGUAAUUUUUUUUCCCUAGCAACAAAGUAUUGUUCCAAAUAAUUAUUAUUGGAUCUAGAUCCUGCCCUAGGCAUUUUCUCUACUAAUCCUCAUAAACUUUUAGGGUUUGUUUGGCACGUGAGAUUAGAUUGAACAAACUAUUAUGAUUGGACUAAAUUAGAAGGGAUUGGAUUGGAUUGGAUUGGAUUAUAUAUAGUGCUGACUUAUGUUUGGUAUUGUAUUGGAUUAGAUUAUGUUAAAUUAAAUUUACAUAAAAUUAAAUAGUAUUUACAUUAAUAUUUGAAUUUAAAUAUAAACUAUUUAUAGAUAUUUAACAAGAAAUAUUGUAAUUAAUUAAAAAUAGCAAUUGGGUAGUAUAAUAAAGAAAUAUAAAUUAUUUAAAUUAUAGGUUAUUUCAAAGAGUGAUGAAACAACCACAAAUUCUUGUACAAACUGAUCUUAUACAAACUGAUUUGGCAUUAAUUCAUUGAAUGAAAAUAUAAAAUAAUAAAAAUAAAUCAUGUGGGCCCAAGAUAUAUUUAAUUCAACCAAUUUUAUCAUGACACAUCAAUUUGUACAAGAAUUUGUGACUAUAUUAUUACUCUAUUUUAAAUAUGAGAGAUAUCAUUUCAUUGAAUAAAAUAAAUAAAAUUAUUCAAAUAAUAAAUUAAUUAAUAAAAUUUAAGUAAAUCAUGAAUAAAAAAGAAAUUAAUUAAUUAAAAACAGUAAAUAAUUAAAUAAUUUUUAAUUUAUAAAUAAAAUGGUAUAAUAAAUUAUGGAAGAUACUAUAAAUACACAAAUAUUUUUUUCACAUUAUCUAGUUCUAACUAAACACACAUAAAAAUUAGGAUUAGCAAUCCCAUGAAUUUAGGAUUAAAAUUUGAAUUUAGUCCAUUAAUCCAAUACAUGUGAGCAUGUCAAAUAUGGUAUUAAUAUUUUAUCGCAAUAAUAAGUCCAAUUCUACACUUAAUCCUACCUCCCAAAUAUAACCUUAAGGAUCUAUUGACAUGUGUCAUUAAUGAAAUUAAAUGGCUAAGAUUUUGUUUUAAUUAAUUUUUACCUAAAUAGACAUCAAAACUCAUGUGUGACUCUUGUUAAAUUUUUUCUUACAAAUUCUUUUCCUCUUAAUUCUUUAUAUUUUGACAUUGAUUUCCAGCAAAUUAUUAAAAAAAAGGAGCACAAAUUGAAAAAAAGUGAUUGACAACAAGGUUUGCAUCUUAAUUUCAAAAUUUUCCUUUCUUUGAUGUUUUUGUGGGUUCUAUAAUUUUGGGCGGGUUCUUAUGUAAUGUUACAAUUAACAUUAGAUUAUUUUCACGGUAUAAGGCAAAUCUUGAGAAUGAACCCAUUUCAAUAUGGUUUCCACAAUAUCAGGAUCUUCUUCUCUGCUUCUAUACGUUUAAAUAAGCUGUUUGCCCUUCCUGAUUCACUUUCCUCAUGAAACUUCAGGCCUAAUUUAUCUGCUAUUUCUCCUUGAAUCUCUCGUAUGUUUUUAUUAUGGGAUACCUCAUCUCCUUGAAUCUUUCGUAUGUUUUGAUUACGGGAUACCUCAACAAGAACUACCUGAUAAAAGAGUUCACUCUUGACUUUCCUAGCAACUUCUUCCGCCAGCUUCGUCUUUCCGAUUCCGCCCAUUCCAUAAAUCCCAAGCAUGUUGACAUUGGGAUUUUUUAAUGCAUCCAUUAUGUCAUUCAGAAUGGGCGCUCUUGAUACAAAGGCCUCGUAGUCUUUGUUAGGGAUAAGCCGAAUAUCCUCUGCAGCAGUACGGUAGGAAAUUCUAUCAAAUCUUCUAGCGUCCCGGACUUUGACAAUAGCCUCUUUCAACGUCACUGCUUCCAUGCUAAGUCGACGGCGGGUCUUCAAAUUAGGACACAACCCCUUGAAACAACGCUUAUUUGCUGCGGCUUCAACUUCUGUAAAUUUAUCUGCCUCUUCAAUGACUUUGUUGGCCCCUUCAAGCCAACUCCUAACGUUCUCUUCAAUUUCUUCCCCGUUUCGUUCAGCCUCAUCAACCUGGUGCUCUGUACUCACCCUCUCAGACUUCAGAUUGUCAACUUCUGCCUUGAGAUUCUGUAAGUUGGUAGUGUACUUACUCUCACGCAAAUAGCUAAUUUCGCGAUAUGCGGGAGGAACCAAGCACUUCACAACUUCUACAACAAUAGUAAGAAUGAUUUCAGCCAUCUUCAGUCCUUUGUCCUUGUCUCUCUAUCUCUCUUUUUCUGAAUUUUUGAAAAACAAUUGACUACUUAGGAAGCACACUGAGUGAUUGAACACAAGUGACCACAACAAGAUGGAACAAAAUAAAAAGGAAAAAAAAUACAAAGAGUGGAAGGAGAAUAAAACAGAGACAGCGGCACAGCUGGACACAACUAGAUAGAGAACAGAGCAAAACCAAAUAACAAGACUUAAGAUUACAACAAACAGAGGCCAAGAAUUGUUGAGAUCAGGAGAUGGAAAAUUCAAAAGAGUUGAUGGCAGAUGCUGAAUAACAGAACAACAAUAAACGCAAUAAGCAGAAGCAAAGUGUGUUUGAAUGGAAAGAAAGACUGAUAUUGAAAAUUGAUGUCAAUAGCGAAGGAAUAAUUGAACUUUCGCUGAAUUAUUGUUUGUGGCCUUCUUUUACUUUUUAUUUGUGGGUCAUGUCUUUUGGAACUAAUCAUCUUAGGUUAUGCCUUAUAGCUUUAAGGCCGGUAAACCGGUGUCCGUUGGAUUAGCAUAUAGAAAUCCAACGGUGGAUAUAUAUACUUGGAGAAUAAAAUUCAAGAGCUAAGGGAGUGCUGGGCUGCAGUUUCUUAAGGAGAUUUAUAUAUCCUCCUCAAAAAUAAAUGUUUUAAGGUAGAUAUUUAGACUAUUUCAUCAUAAAAUAAAUGUAAUUAAUUUUCAAUAAAUAUCUUAUAUAAAUAUUUAUUUAUUUUUUUAAUUACUAAUGACCUUUGAAUAUACAUAUAUAUACAUAUCACUUAUGUAUAUACAUAUCACUAAUUCAAAAAAUAAAUUGUGAUUAUUUGUUCAUGUAUGCGAUUACUUGUGAUGGGAAAUAAAAUAGAUAUGGUAUAUUUUGAAGUUAAAUUAAAAAAAAAAAAACAGAGCUUUUACCAUUACUUGCCUUAUCAUCUUUUAAAUUAGAGUUAUUAUUCUUUUAUUUUUCAAGUUGCCAACUCAUCCGCAUUCUCUUUUAUUGAAUUUGAAGAUCAAUGAUUAUAAAUGUGUGUAAAAAUUUUAAGUCAAAACUUUAAAUUAAAAUAAUCUUUAAGUUAUUGAGAAAUAAUAACUUAGUAUAACAAAUAUUAUAUCCUAUACUUUAUUGCUACAAAAUUACGAAACCUUAUAUUAUAUUAUGUUUCCAUAUUUCUCCUUUAUAGUGAAGACUCAUACUUCUUCUCUAUUAAAUGCUAAAGUAUUGGCUUAAAUUUUUUAACCAGCAUAGUAGACCCUUAAGCUAUAUAUACUAUAAUGUCCCUCUUCUCUCAUAGAUUAAACCAAUCUGAUCUCGGAGUGAGUUGAUACCAUGACUUUGCAUAAUUCGUGAUCAAAGGAGCAUCAUUAUUAACUAAUAUAGGCUCCAUCAAUAGGCAUGAUAAUAAUUUUUUUUAUAUACAAACACUGUUUUUCAAAAUAUUAUAUCUUAAGACUUAACUAAAUAUUUUGUAACUAUGUAGAUAUAGUUUGUUUGAUCUCUUUUAAAUAGUGGAGAUUACAAACAAACAUAUGCAAAUUAGUAGUGAUGUUGAGUUUAGAAGAUUGAAGUUAAGAAAAUUAAGGGUUUCUUGAUCUAGAGAAAUUUCAAAUGAGUGAAGUGUCCUUGAAAUCGGAAGACGAAAAUAAGGAAAGGGUAAGGGUGUAUUUUCAAAGUGAUUCUAUUACGAGAUUUUGAAGUAGGGGUGGGCAAGUCGGGUUUUGGUUCGGGUUGUUCAAGUUUCGGUUUGGGUUUCAACCCAAUCGGGUUUGGGAAUUGAAUCCAAUCGGGUUGAAAACGCCAACCCAAACUAAACCGAACCGAAUUUAAUUCAGCUUGGGUUCAUAAUUCGGAUUGGUAAUUCAGGUUAAAAUUUCGGUUCGGGUUAAUUUGGGUUAGAAUAAUUCCAUCUAAAAUUUUGGGUUAGUUUGGUUUAAAACAAAUUGAAACAAUUUAAUCCAAAAAUUAUACCAACAACCACUUAAAAUCCAAAAAUCUCAAUUCCAAACAUCCUUAACAACAAAUAUCAACUACAAACUAUCCUUGAUAACAUUUCAACAAUAACAAUAACAAUAAUAACAACAACAACAAUAAUAAUAAUAAUAACAACAACUAUGAAUCAGCAAUUCAGCAUAUUGCCAUAUUCUAAAUUUAAAAAAACACACAAAUUAUGUAAUUAAUUAAUUAACAAUCUCCAAUUUAAUUUAUAAUAACAACAAAAAUCCUCUCCAAUUUAAUUAAUAACAAUCUCGAAUUGUUCAAUUAUCAGUCAACAACAACAAACCCACUCCAAAUAAUUGAACAAUUGUUAAUUAAUUAAUUAAAAAUAUCUAAUUUAAUUAAUAACAACACCCAAGAGCAAGUCAGCAAUAAACCCACUCAAAAAUCCAAAUAUCAGUAUAAAUUAAGUGUCAAACCUUGAUCGGUGGGAAGCUACAGCGUCGGCAAAUUGUGACCGUGUGGGGCUGAGUAAGACCGUCAACCGAGGGUGUGAGAAGGGAGAAGAGGGAGCAGGGAGGUAACGAUGUGUGUGUGAGUUUAUAUAUAUAUAUAUAUAUAUAAUUUUUAAAACCUAAAACUUAAAAAAAAAAAAAAUUAACCCAAUCCAAACCGCCCACCUCAUAUUACUUCCGUUAAGAGAUGGAUCCCACACUCAUGAGCCUUUGUCGUCCCAGUCAACUAUAAAAACAAAUCAUUAUUGAGUGUGAACAGACUUAUUGAUCACCCAAUUUUCAAACUUGUCAUCCUUAUUGUAUCUGCAUCCCCUUUUGAAAAAUUUUAAAAAAAGUACAAAUAAUGAAACAAAGUUUUGUUCCUUCAACAGUUGAUAGAGUUACGCGGCUUGGACUUGCAAGUGCUGUCGGCAUUUUCAAACUUGUAAGACCCUUCAACUUGCUUUCCAAGAUAGCUAUAAUUAAUAAUGACAACAGUCUCCCUCAUAGCGACUAGUGAGCAACUGAAAUUAACGGCAUCUUCUCUCACAUUUUUAAAAAAAUUGAAUUAUAUAACCCACCAAAACUAUAAAGAAUUGUUAGUUUUUCUUCAUUAAAAUUAAUAUAUUGCUCCUCAUAUUAAAAAAUCAAAAUUCAGAAUAAGAAUGAUUGGUACUGUUUAUUUACUAAAAUGAAAAUAAAAUAUAUGAAGCCUACAUAUUUUUGAAAUUAAAAAACAAGAACUUUAUUUUCCUUGGGGAGUGUUGGAAAUCAAGUUCUUGUUAUUUAAACUCUCAAUUGUAUCUCACCGAAAUUUCAUAAUUCUACUUUUGUCUUCAAUUAAAAUAUUAUUAUAGUUAUUAUUCUUAUUUUUGUAGUUGUUGUUGUUUUUUUUUUUUGGUCUUAUCCACGAGGUAUCCUGGGGAGGGCCCCAACUGUGGGAGGCACCUUUAAGCCCGUACCACAACCCAGACUAGAAGUCCCCGCUCGAACCGGGAGGCACAGGUUCUCCCAACAAAGGCGACUUCCCUGCGACUCGAACUGGGGAGCAAACCCAGUCAAGCCACUUAAGGGGACUCCAUUGCCAGUGGAGCCAACACUUUGUUGGUUGUUGUUGUUGAUUAUGAUAAAUGGUCAGGCAAAUGAUUCAUUUACUUAUUUUUUUCCUUUUAAAUUUUUGUUAUUAAGAAGAUUUUUGGAUAUUUAGCGUGAAGGUCUCAACUGAUCGCUAAUUUCACAGCAACUUCCUUUUUUUUUUCCCUCAAUUGUUUUGAAAAAAUAUCAAGACUCAUUCAGCAAAAUAUCCGAGGCCAAAGCGCCAAAAAUGGGACAGCCACAUGCACUUCUAAUUACAAAAUCUAAAGUUAGGGUGUCCAUAACUUACAUUUAAUAUAAUUUAUAAUUAGGUAAAAUUCAUUCAUUGACCCAGUAAUUUUAUUAUCCUAUUACUUAUAUUUUUAUAUUAAAAAAUUAGUAAGUAGGAAAAUUCUUAAAAGAUAAUGAAGAAGGAAAAGAAAAAGAAAAAGUGUAAAUGAACUGUAUUCACAUAAGUUUCAAACAUGUGAUUCAAUCUGAAUUGGCUUUUUUCAAAAGUAAAUACAAAGGAAAAUAAAAAGAAAAAAGCAAUUAAACGAGACUAAAAUCUGUGGCCUGUGUCAUUCAUAUCUUUUGACAUUUCUUUUAUAGCGGUAUAAAGGGUAGAUAUUUUGAAGUGAAAAGCAAAGCCUUUACUAUUACUUGCCUUAUCAUCUUUUAAAUUAGAGUUAUUAUCCUUUUAUUUUUAAGUAGCCAAAUUAGAGUUAUCAUCCUUUUAUUUUUAAGUAGCCAACUCAUCCGCAUUAUCUAUUAUUGAAUCUAAAGAUAAAUGAUUAUAAAUUUCUCUGAAGAUUUUAAGUCCAAACUAUAAAUCAAAAUAAUCUUAUUGAUUAAGUUAUUGUAUAAUAAUAACCUUAGCAUGACAAAUAUUAAUUCUUCUCUAGUAAAUGCUAAAGUAUUGGCUUAAGUUUUUUAACCAGCACAGUAAACCCUUAAAGCUAUAUAUGCUAUAAUGUCCCUCUUCCCUUACAAAUUAAACCAAUUUGAAUUUAGAGUGAGUGAGUACCAUGAGUUUGCAUCAUUACUAACUAAUACAGGCUCGAUCGAAUUCAUCAUACGAAGUAUAUUAUCGGCUGUAGGUAUGGAAAUAAAUUUUGUAUCCACAAACACUAUUUUUCAAAAUAUUUAAGACUUAACUUAUCAUUUUUUAACCAUAUAUGCAUAGGUUGUUUGACCUAUUUUAAAUAAUGGAGAUUACAACAAAUGAACAUAUGUGGAUUAGUAGUGUUGUUGAGUUCAGAAGAUUGAAGUUAAGAAAAAGGUUUCUUGAUCCAGAGAAAAUUCAAAAGAGCGAAGUGUCUUCGGGAUCAGAAAACGAAAUAAGGAAAGGGUAAGGUUAUACUUUCAAAAUGAAUUUGUUGAGAGAUCUUUGAAGAUUAUUUUCAUUAACAAUUAGAUCCCACACUUGAGUCUUUAUCGUCUCAGUCAGUCAGUUAUAAAGACAAAUUAAUUUUGAGUAUGAAAGGACUUUCAAACUUGUGACCCAGUUAUAAAGACAAAUUAAUUUUGAGUAUGAAAGGACUUUCAAACUUGUGACCCUUCAAGCUUUCUAUGACAGCUAUAAUGAAUAAUUACAACAGUGCUACCUAAUAGUGAGCAACUUGUUUGAUGAAAUUAACAACUUCUUUUCUCUCAUGUAUUUUUAAAAAAAUUGAAUUAUCAAAGCUUUUAUUUCAAAAUUAGUGCUAUAGUUCAUUAAUUUUUCAAAUUUUCCUUUUUUUUUCCACACAACAGAUUGAUUUGCCCUCCAAAAACUGUAUUAGAUUGUUUAAUAUUGUAACUUCAAAAAACUUAUAAUAAAUUUUUAAAGAGAUAAAUAGGGAAUGUCAGUCUCCCAUCUACUCAAAAUUAAUAUAUAUCAUUAACUCCUGAUUAUUUUUAUAACAACUAAUAACUUUCUGGGCAGCAUAAUUUUACAGUAUCAUCCUUGUUUGUAAGUAUAUUUUUUUUCACAUUUAUUAUAAAUUAAUUAAAUCAUAUCAAUGAAAAUUGAAAUAGAAAUUGAAGUACUAAAAAAAAUGUUUUGGUGUGAAUAAAAAAUUGAAAAUAAAAAUAUUUUUAUUAUAUUUUUUUAUUUUUAAAUGGUUUUCUUAUAAUAAAUAUAUAUUUUAUAUUCUCAAAUUGAAUUAUUGAGUAAAUGACUCAUUUACUCACUUUUUCUUUUAAUUUUGUUAUUAGGAGGAUUUUUAGAUAUAAUGAAAAUUGUAAGGUAGUAAGUAAUAUAAAAUAAUUUUAAUAGAGAAAAAUAAAAAAUCUGUUAUUUUAAAAUAUAAGGAGAAAAAUAAUUAAUUUCAAGAUAUUUUAGAAGAUAUUUCAAAUUUUCAAUAUGCGGUGGACUAUAAACUCGAGUCUUUGUCGUCACAGUCAACUAAAAGGACAAAAUAUUGAGUGCGAAGGGCUCAACUGAUUGCUAAUUUCACAGUAAUUGUGUUUUUUCUUUCUUUUUUUAAUUAUUGGGAAAUAAUAACUUAGUAUAACAAAUAUUAGAUCCUAUACUUUAAUGCUGCAAAAUUAUGAAACCUUAUAUUAUAUUAUGUUUCCAUAUUUCUCCUUUAUAGUGAAGACUCACACACUUCUUCUGUAGUAAAUGCUAAAGUAUUGGCCUAAACUUUUUAACCAGCACAAUAAACCCUUAAGUUAUAUAUGCUAUAAUGUACCUCUUCCCUCACAGAUUAAACCAAUCUGAUCUCAGAGUGAGUUUGCAUCGAAGGAGUAUCCUUACUAACUAAUAUAGGCUCGAUCAAUAGGGAUGACAAUAAUUUUUUUAUCUACGAACAUUAUUUUUUCAAAAUAUUAUAUCUUUAGACUUAACUAAAUAUUUUUUUAAUCAUAUAUGUAUAGUUUGUUUGAUCUCUUUUAAAUAGUGGAGAUCACAACAAAGCAAAUGCUAAUUAGUAGUGAUGUUGAGUUCAGAAGAUUGAAGUAAAGAAAACUAAGGGUUUCUUGAUCCAGAGAAAUUUCAAAAGAGUGAAGCGAAAAGUGAAUUUAUUGAGAGAUCUUUGAAGAUUUACUUCCGUUAAGAGUUGGAUGUCACACUUUUUGAGCCUUUGUCGUCCCAAUCAUUCAAUUAUAGGAUCCCUAAGCAUAUAACUUACAAUUCUUUCAUAUAAAUAAUGAGUAGUGUGAACCCAUACAACUUACAACCUUCUCACAUAAAUAAUGAGUAGGUCUAAACUACUCACUAUUCAUAUAAAAAAAUUAUAAAUUAUAUACAUGUAACUUAACAUUAUUCUCCUCUAUAAAGACAUAUUCUUAUUGAGUGUGAAUAGACAUAUUGAUCACUAAAUUUUCAAACUUGUGAUCCUCAUUAAAUGUGAUUCCCCUUUGAAAAAGAAAAAAAAGUGCAAAUAAUGAAACAAAAAUCUGUUCCUUAACAGCAAGUGGUGUCGGCGUUUUCAGACUUGUAACAAGGGAAUGAGAUCCUCUCCUGAACCCGGGUCUCAUUCCCUGUGAAACAAAAAAAGUGCAAAUAAUGAAACAAAAUUCUGUUCCUUAGCAGCAAGUGGCGUCGGCAUUUUCAGACUUGUAAAAGGGAAUGAGGUCCUUUCCUGAACCCGGAUCUCAUUCCCUGUGAAACAAAAAAAGUGCAAAUAAUGGAACAAAAUUUUGUUCCUUAACAGCAAGUGGUGUCGGCAUUUUCAGACUUGUAACAAGGGAAUGAGAUCCUCUCCUGAACCCGGAUCUCAUUCCCUGUGACAAGACCCUUGUCACCCUUCAACUCGCUUUCCAAGAUAGCUAUAUUAAUCGUGACAACAUUACUCUCAGUGAGCAAAAGUUAUCAGCAUCUUCUCCCCAUUUUUUAAAAAAUUGUAUUAUAUAACCCACCAAAACUAUAAAGAGUCUUUUCUUAUUAAAAUUAAUAAAUUACUCUUUAUAUUAAAAAAUUAAAAUUUAAAAUGAAAAUGAUCUGAUGUUUAUUUAUUAAAAUAUAAAUAAAAUAUAUGAAGUUCAUAUUUUUUAAAUUAAAAAAUAAGAACCUAAUUUCAUUCCUUAAAUUCCCAAAUUUACCUCACAAAAAUUCCAUAAACUUACUUUUGUCCUUAAUUAAAAUAUUAUUAUGUUAUUAUUAUGGUUAUUAUUCUUAUUUUUGUAAUAGUUGUUGUUGUUGUUGAUGAUGAUAAUACAUGAUAAUAAAAUUAAUAAUAAUAAAAAUAAUAACUAUAAUUUUAACAAUAGCAGUAAUAAUCAUUAAUAUUAUUGUUGUUGUUCUUAUUUUUAUUCUUAUUCUUAUUAUUAUUAUUAUUAUUAUUAUUAUUAUUAUUAUUAUUAUAAUAAUAAUAUUAUUAUUAUUAUAAUAAUAAUAAUAAUAUUAUUAUUAUUAAAUAAUAAUAUUAUUAUUAUUAAAUAAUUAUUUUGAAUAAUAAUAAUCACAAUUAUUAUAACAAACGACAAUAAUCAACUAAGGUAAUUUUAAUAACUUGUAACGAUUCAUUUUAUUCAAAGAUAUGUGAUUAUUUGUUAAUGUAUGCAAUUACUUGUGAUGGUAAACAAAGUACAUAUGGUAUAUUUUCAAGUUAAAAAAGAAAAACAAAACAUAGUUUUUACCAUUUCUUGCCUUAUCAUCUUUUAAAUUAGAGUUAUUAUUCUUUUUAUUUUUCAAGUUGCCAACUCAUCUGCAUGCUCUUUUAUUGAAUUUGAAGAUCGAUGAUGAUAAAUUUGUGUGAAAAAAUUAAGUCAAAGUUUUAAAUUAAAAUAAUCUUUAAGUUAUUGGGAAAUAAUAACUUAGUUGUAAUAAAUAUUAUAUCCUAUACUUUAUUGCUACAAAAUUACGAAACCAUAUAUUAUAUUAUGUUUUCAUAUUUCUCCUUUAUAGUGAAGACUCGUACUUCAACUUUUUAACCAGCACAGUAGACCUUUAAGCUAUAAAUGUUAUAAUGUCCCUCUUCGCUCAUAGAUUAAAACAAUAUGUAGCCUUCUCUCAUAUAGAAAAACUUUUUGUAUAAGACAAAUUAUUAUGUUAUAGGAAAAAUUACAGUAGACGUAAGCCAUAUAUGUUAUAAUGCUCAUAAGUUUGAAGUUAAGAAAAUUAAGGAAAGGAUAAGGGUGUAUUUUCAAAGUGAAUUAUUAAGAGAUCUUUAAAGAUUACUUUCGUCAAGAUCUGGGUUCCAUACUCUUGAGCCUUUUUCGUCUCAGUCAACUAACAAGACAAAUUAUGAUUGAGUGUGAACCGUCCGACUUAUGGAUCACUAAAUUUUAUCCUUAUUGAAUCUGCGUUCCCCUUUGCAAAAGUAAAAAAAAAAAAGGUGCAAAUAAUAAAACAGAAUUGUUGGCAUUUUCAGACAUGUAAGACCCUUCAACUUGCUUUCCGAGAUGGAAAAUGCUACUCAGCGAGAAUGCCGAGAGAAACGGCAUACAGUUUCUCUCGGCCCCACUCCACGUGAAGACUUUCUCUUUUCACAUUUUUUACGCGUUUCUCUUUUCUCUCCCCCCACGUGAACACUUUUGCCUUUUGCUCGUUCACGUGAAAGUCAGUUUAGAAUUUUGAUCUUAUUAAUCAUGACAAUUGACAACAUUACUCCCACCGAGCAAAAGUUAACAGCAUCUUCUCCCACAUUUUUUUAAAAAAAAUUGUAUUAUAUAACCCACCAAAAGUAUAAAAAGUAUUUUGUUAUUAAAAUUAAUAAAUUACUUUUUAUAUUAAAAAAUUAAAAUUUAAAAUAAGAAUGAUUGAUGAUGUUUAUUUAUUAAAAUAAAAAUAAAUUUUAUGAAGUCUAUAUAUUUUUUAAAUUAAAAAAUAAGAACUUAAUUUCUUAUGAACUGUAUUCACUACUUAGUAUUCUUAAAAGCUAACGGAGAAACCACUCGGCUCAGCCCGAGUGGCUAGGGCUGCUGCCCUCCAAGUUGGAGGGCAGCAGUUCGAACUCCCACAAAAGUAUUGUGGGGGUAUUUUUUUCUUCAAUUAAUUUGAGUGAAGGUAGUCUUCUCUCUUACCCAUGAGUGAGGAGUAGACAUCCCUCGAAUAUUUGUGAGGGUCAAAAUCUGAGCAGAGCUCCAUUAGUAAUUAUGUAAGUUGGUCUCAGUACUAGUCUGAUUUGUAAAUAUCAGUUAUAGUCUCAUGUAUAUGAGUUGUAAUCUGAGCAAUAGUCUCAUGUAAUAAAAAAAAAAAAAAAAAAAAGCUAACGGAGAAGGAAAAGAAAAAAAAAAGUGUAAAUGAACUGUAUUCACCUAAGUUUCAAACAUGCGGUUCAAUCUGAAUUCGCUUUUUUCAAAAGUAAAUACAAAAGAAAAUAUAAAGAAAAAAAUUAAACGAGACAAAAAUCUGUGGCGUGGGUCAUUCAUAUCUUUUGCCAUUUCUUUUGUAGAGGUACAUAGGGUAGAUAUUUUGAAGUGAAAAGCAGAGCCUUUACUGUUGCUUGCCUUAUCAUCUUUUAAAAUUAAAGUUAUUAUUCUUUUAUUUUUAAGUAGCCAACGGAUGGUAGCCAACUCAUCCGUGUUCUGUAUUAUUGAAUUUAAAGAUCAAUGAUUUAUGUUAAUAAAUAUUUUGUUAACUAGCAAAGUUUUUAUUUCAAAAUUACUCCUAUAAUUCAUUAAUUUUUCAAUUUUUCCUUUUUCUAUUCACACAACAGAUUGAUUUGUCCUCCAAAAAAAUGUAUUAGGUCGUUUAAUAUUGUAACAUCAAGAAACUUAUAAUAAAUUUUUAAAGAGAUAAAUAGAGAAUGUCAGUCUCGCAUCUACUCAAAAUUAAUAAAUAUACCACUAACUUCUUAUUAUUUUUAUAAUAACUAAUAACUUUUUUAGCAGUAUAAUUUUAUAAUAUUAUCAUUGUUUGUAAGUACAUUUUUUAUUUAUAUUUAUUAUAAAUUAAUUAAAUCAUAUCAAUAAAAAUUAAAAUAACACAAUAAGUUUUGGAGUGAAUAAAAGAUUGAAAAUAAAAAUAUUUUUCUUAUAUUUUUUGUUAUUUUUAAAUGUUUUUCAUAUAAUAAAUGUACAUUUUAUAUUCUUAAGAUGAAUUUUGAGUAAAUGACUCAUUUACUCAUUUUUUUCUUUAAAUUUUUGUUACUAGGAGGAUUUUUAGAUAUAAUGAAAAUUGUAAAGUAGUAAGUAAUAUAUAAUAAUUUUAAUAGAGAAAAAUAAAAAAUCUCUUAUUUUAAAAUAUAAGGAGAAAAAUAAUUAAUUUUAAGAAAUUUUAGAAAAUAUUUUAAUAUGCUGUGGAUCACACCCUCGAAUCUUUGUCGUCUCAGUCAACUAAAAGGACAAAAUAUUGAGCGUGAAGGCUCAACUGAUUGUUAAUUUCACAGCAAUUACUUUUUUUAUUCUUUCUUUGUUUUUCCUAAUUAUUUUGAAAUAGUAGGUAGCAAUUGCUUACAUCAAAAUAUCUAGACUCACUCGGCAAAGUAUCCGACGCCAAAAUGUCAAAAGGUGGGACACCCAUGCAUCUAAUUACAAAGUCUAAAGUUAAUGAAAAGAGAAAAAGAAAAAGUAUAAAUGAACGGUAUUCACCUCACUUUCAAAUUUAACUGUUGGGUCUUCCUACUAUGCACCUGGUGUAUGCAUGAUUCCUUGUGACAUGACAUACAGCCAAUUAAAUUCUGACAUACUUGCAAUAAGGUCUGUUAAAGUGACCGGUUAUUCCAGUUGAAUUCACAAGAUCUCUUGUUUGCGUGUUUAUGUUCCAAGUUGUGUACUCUGUGUUGCGAGUUCUCUAAUUAGUCUGAAAUUAUCGCAACUGUUAGCUCAAUAAUGUUACAGGUUUUAUAAUAUAUGUCACUGGUAUGAUCGCUGUCACAAAUUUAGAACGAAAAGUUUCUAAUAAAAUAAGUUAUUUAAUUAAUUAAAUAAGAAUAAAAUGAAUUUAAUUUUGAAUUAUUUUGACCAAAAUUUAAGUUUUUUUUAAAUUUGUUUAAAAAAAUGCGUUGUAAUUGUCUUGUUUUAAUUGGAAAAUCAAUGAAAAAAUUAUGUAACAGACAAAAAAAAAAAAAGCAAAACGGCUUGUUUUGGAUGGUGGCCAUAGAUUCCAAUAUUUCCUUCACGAAAACUACAAAAAAUUAUCAAAGGCAUCAAUUUCUACACUCUCACCGAGCAAUACUCUUAACCCAGAAGGAAGUGUAUAAACCAACCCCAAUCAGUCCAUCAAUGUCGUCAACCUCAUACAUCAUAAAAAAAAUCUGUAUCCAUUAAACCGCCAUUUAAACCGUCUUUAUUGAGCCAUUAGACUAUUCGUGUCAUCUUAGCAUCUCGUUGUAAUAUUUUGCCGUUUAAAUCUAGUUAUCAAUGGGAGAAAAUGGAGACCAAUCUGCAAGUCUUUAAAAUAGAUAGGAACUUUAAUUGGGCACUAUGUUCACGGUGGUGGACCCAGCAGUAUUAAUCUUUAGGCAGAGCUAUUUGUAUUUUAAAAAUUAUUUUACACACUCUAAUUUUAAUUAGAAUAUAUAUUACAAAAAUACUUAUCAUAUAAGUUACUAGACAAUAUAUUAUAAGUCAACAUUAUAUAAUUACUUUGAACACUUAUAUAGCACAAUCUUUAUUUAAUUUUUUAUUCUCAUGACUUAAAUAUAAAAAAUUUUAUUUCCAACAGAUGAAUAAUAAAGAAAUUAACUUUGAGAAAAAUUUAAAUACAAAAUAUGUGUAAUACUUUUAAAAAAUAAAAUAAAACAAAAGUAUUGCACAAUAUAUAUUUUUUUUUGGGGGGCUUUGGCCAUUCUUCUUCUUCUCCUUCUCUCUCUCUCUCUCUCUCUUUGGAUAGUAUUUAUGGAACAUUUUCUAUUGUUAUGUUUAAAGCUGUUAAAAUGAGUCAUCAGGUCGUGUUUGUGUCGUGUCAAAUUUAAGUCGACCCAUUUAAUAAUCGUGUCAAAAUAUUGAGACCCAAACCCAACACAAAAAAAUAAUCGGGUUACUCAAUAACCUGCUUAAUAUCUAUAUAUUAAACAAAAAUUACAUCAAAUAUUUACACAUUAUCAUACAUACAUAUGCGCAUACAUACAUACAUCCAUACAUACAUACAUAAUUUAUCGAUAUUAUAAAAUAUAUAUAUGUACUAAAAUAUUACACACACUAUUGAGGUUUUAAUUAUAUAUAUGUAAAUAAUAUUAUAUAUCAAUAUUAUAAAAUAUAGAUGUCUACGAAUAUUUUAUACAUUUAUACUAUUAAAGUUCUAAAUGUAUUUAAAAUUUUAUAAAUAAAAUAUUGCGUCUAUAUUCAUCCUUUUAAAGAAUUAAAAAAAGAAAAUAAUCUCUAAUAUUUGAGUUUUGAUGACAAGAAUUUACAAAUUAUUUUAAAAUAAAAAAUAUAAUCAGGUCAUUGAUCGGGUAAAUAGGUCAAGAAUUUUAAUCCUAACCCGAUACGAAAAAAAAUCGUGUUGACCUAAACCCGGCCCAUUUAAUAAUCGUAUUAAAUUCGACAACCCAUACCCAUUUAUUAAUGUCGUGUUCGUGUCAGGUAAUCGAAUCGUGUCAAAUUUUGCCAGCUCUAGUUAUGUUCUCGUCGCAAGUUAUUUUGGGUCCAAAUACAAUAUUAAAAAUAAAUUAAAUAAAAAAUUAGUAACUAAAAUUAUGUUAAAUUAUUUUUUAUAACUUAAAUUUUAAUUAUAUUAUUGUGAGUAUAUUACUAAAUCUCUUAAAAAUAGAGUGUUGAAUAAUUUUAUUAGUUUUUUAAAUAAAUAAAGUUACCCAAAUCGUUUUAUUAUCACAUUAUUUUCCAUAAAAAAAGUUUACAAUUACCUCUUUAUUGGACAAUUUUGUUCCUUCUCUUACCUUAUGUUCCCUUACAUUCUCAUUUAUGCAUCACCAAGUUUGCUAUAAUGUACGUGAAGAAUAGUUAAAGAGCUCUUUCGUGUCCUUACCCUUUUUUUUGGGUUUACUUUUGCUGCCUUUUUACGUUUCUCCAUAAUUCACUCCAACAUCACUGACGCAUUUUCUUCUUUCUCACUGCAACAUCAACUGGGCCACCACCUCUUGCCUCUGCCGGUUCCCCUCAAUUUUCGUAUUCAAUGUCCACAGUUGAUUGUACAUUUAUUAAAAUUCUGUGGUUUUGCCUAUAUUUAAUUCCACACGGUCUAUCGAUAGAGCAUGUGCAUCGUAGUUGUGGCCUUAACUAUUAUUGGUAACUCAAUAGCUAAUUCUAAUGUUUCAUCAAGCAGUUUAGAGAUAACCUCUCUCGCUGAACUCCCUGGAGUAAUGCAAUCCAGUUUUCCAGUGCAAUCAUCAGACAGUUGAACAGCUUCUGAAUUCCCUUUGCUUUUCUUGUUUUCUUUUCCAUGUAAAGGGAGCUCAGGCUUCAAUAUAUAUAUCUGGGGAUUGGGUACUAAUGAUAAAGACAACAUACGGUAGAGGACACAAAUUGUUAUCAAAGAAUGAUGCACUUUUCAACUGAGUACAGUAAAGCAAGAAUGGGUAAUUAGUUUUACCUGCUAAGCGAAAAUCUAGACUCCCGAAGGUAACAGAUCUUGGGUGAAGCAAAUAAAGAAGAAGGCGAAGUAAAAUUCACUGAGUUGAAUGAGCGAUCAUUGCGUAUGGACUUGAUUUGUUCAAUGGGUGAAAGACUGCUGAUAUAAUUAAAGACUGGAGAAUCCUGCACGUUGACAAGCAUCAUUUUUAAUCUAACAUAGAGUCUUAAAAACCUUGUCAGUGGCAAAUGAUCACGACAAGCAAACUGAAGUUCAAACAGCAGAGCUCAACAAAUCAUUAAGAGAAAAUAAGACCAUUAACCAAGCAGAUGAAAGAAACGCAAAAUAACCCAUCUCAAAUCACCGCAUGCACAAUUUAAGGGGGUUGUGACAUGGGUUUAAGCAUGAUUUAACAAGUGCCACCAGUGAAUUCUCAGAGAUUGAAUUUUCAUACACAUGCAAAUUUCCAAGUCCAACGAAUUGUUGUCUUUCUGAAGAUAUUAACGAUGCAUAGCAUGCUAUAAACAAAUCAUAUUAUUAGGGCCUUUGUUUGCUGUACACAACAUAUGUACAGAGGAACAAAUCCAUGAGCUGAAAUCAUCAUAUUCCAAAAUAUUCUACCCAAUCAACACCACAAAACCCUAACGCUAAACAGAAUUGGAGCAAUUUACGAAAGCUAUUUGUCACACAAAGCGCUAGUACCUCUGAACCCAAUUUGCAGAUGAAAAAUAACAAAUGCCCAAAUGAAAAAAUCAGGAAAAAAAAAUGCUCAAAUUCAAACUACAACCCCAUAAGCUGAGUCGUUCUCUUCAAACUAAAUUUAACACUGAAUAAAAAAAUUAAAAAAUUAAAAUGGGGAGAUUAACCUCAAACUUGGAAACAGAAGCGACAGUGAUCUGUUUCCUGUCUGGAGUGUCCAUUUCUAUAAUCUACUUUGUCUGUUUUCAGUCGCUCCGCCACAAAGCUUUUUCCCUCUGAAACUGAAACUCACACACACUUGCAAAGCGAAAGCAUUUGAUUGAUUGAGAGGCGGGAAGGCGGGAAAAUGGAAGAAAUUUGCUUUUGUUUUUUCUUGGUUUGGUCAAACACGUGCGGGCCCCAGCUUGACAAGCGGUUCUAUUACUACUGUAUUAUCUACAUGACGCGUGUCACGCGAUCUCGAUAGAAAAGUGGUAAAAAAUUCUAAUGAUUACCCAAUGGCGAUAAAAAUAAAAAUAUAUUGUUAAUUUUUUACUUAACAUUGGAAUAUCAUAUAAUUUUAUGGUUAUUUACUCGCCGUUAUGCCAUAUUCUUAUGAUCAAAUAAUACAGUAAAAUUUUUCUAUAAUCAUAACGUUAGAACCAAAUUAAUUUCACUUCUAUAAAAAAAUUAUAGCUUAAUAAAAGUAUAAUUGUAAAAAUUAUUAUUUUAACUUACUUAUCCUUAGUACAAAUGAUGUAAAGUAAAAUAUAUGAUAAUUAAUUAAUGAAUUAUGUCAAAUACAAUGUACGGACAAUGAUAAAAGAUAAUUCAAGUGUGACUCUUAUCAAAUUCUUUUCCCCUCAACUCUUUAUAUUUUGACGCCGAUUUCCAACAAAUUAUUGAAAACAAAGGCAAAAAAUGGAGAAAAGUGAUUGGCUACAAGGUGUGCAUCUUAAUUUCAAAAUUUUCUUUUUCUUUGUUGUUUCUCUAGGUUCUAUAAUUGUUGUUUUCGUGGUCAAUUGCAAUUCAAUGAACUAAAUUAGUAGUAAAUUGCUAUUACUGGGCAUAUAAUUCUAUUGCUGCAAUUUUACUACUGUUUAGCUUUUUUUUUUUAGUUUAUAAUUGCUGUUUUGUUGUCUUUUUUAGGUUUUCAACUGUAGUUUGCUGUUUUUCUAGGUUCUAUAGUUGCUGCUUCGGGAAAAAUAAGAAUAAAUGUGAUCUUGAAUUAUUUAACUCUUAUGAAACAUCUUUAGCUGUUGCAUUUUUUCACUGUAUUAGUAUUGGCGGGAUGGAUGUUGAAUAGGGAUGGCAAAGUCCAUAUCCGGAUCUAAAUUGAUAUUUCUAUAUUCGGAUCCGCAUCCGAAUCUACACAUUUUUUUUUUUUUCGCGAAUCUGGAUGUGGGUAAUCUUCGUAGGGAUUGCAAGCAGAUAUCAUGGAUAUCUAGGUCCGCAUAAAUUAAAAUUUAAUAAUUUAAAAUAUAAUUUAAAAUUCAAUAACUUACCUAAUAAUAUCAAGUAAAAUCCAAUUAUAAUUUAACAAUCAACAAUUCAAUACCUAAAAUAACAUAUAACAUCAUUAAGUCAUAAAUAAAAAUAUCACAAUAUAAAUCAAAAUAAAAAAAAAACAUAAAUCUAAGUUUAGCACCACCACAAAUUCACGAAUAAAAUUAUAAAAACACCACAAAUCCAUAUAAAAUAAUGUGAAUUCCGAUAUAUUUCUUAAUUUAAUUUUACUUCUAUAUUUUUUAGUAAUCCUAUUAUCUUUUUUCAUUUAACUUAUAUAUUUUUCAUUUAAUUUUAAUUUAACAAAUAAUUUAAUUAAAAAAUAAGAUGGAUCCAGAUCCGGAUUUGGAUCCUCUUGGAUUCUAAAUCUUAGGAUCCGAAUUUAAAUUUUUUUAAUAUGUAUAUCUGAAUUCUAAAUCUUUGCGGAUCUGAACCAGAUCCUGAUAUUUUUACCAUUCCUAAUGUUGAAAGGGCAAUAAUUUGUGGGAAAAUAAUUUGACAAGAGUCAUGCAUGAGUUUGGAUGUUUGUAUAAUGUAAAAUUUAUACUUAAUAUGAUUGAAAUUGAGACUAAAAUAUUUUACCUAAAAUUCACUAGCUAGCUUUGCCUUGAUGGGCCUGUGAUCGCCCAUACAUAUUUCUUCAAAUUUAUUAAUAUUUUUGUGCAUAGCAAUUAGGGAUAUAUGACAACAAAUUCUCAUUUUUAGUGUGUCGAAAGUAUAUUCACAAGUUGUGUGCCCCUUGGAAUGGGCACAGCUCACCGACUUGUAGCCUCUUUCUUCAGUUCACCACUCUAGUUGGACUCGCCAAUGAGAUUAAACAUUAAAUACAUCUAAAAUUAUGUCGAUUAAUAUAUGCUCUUUUUAUAUAUUUCCCCUAGCUUAUUAAUAAUUUUAUAGAAUUAUACAAAAAUUGAUAUUUUGUAGCAUAUCAUGUUUGUUUAGUGUUCCCGUGUACUCUAUGUUUGAUAAUUUAAUUAGCUAAUAAGGACAUGAAUAAUAUUAUUUCACUCACUAUGUCAUUGGUCAGAAAAAAAAAAAGGAAAGAAAAACUCAAUUUGAGAUGUUAUACAUUAUUUUUUAUUACUUCCCAUUUCAGAUGAAUAUUUAUCAUAUAUAUUCUUAGUAACUUGUAACCCUUUCUGCUAAGGGUAAAAUGUUUUUGUUACCCCUUAUAUUUAUGAGAUUGUCCUUAUAGUAGUGAUGCUGGCCCCAUUUUCUAAGAGUACAUUUGGAAUUGAGAUUGUGUAGUUGUAGCUUAAAAGUCACAAUAUUAAAAUAUUUGGUCAACACUAGCUAUUGUAGUUUGGAAGCUAUGUUGAUAUGAUUUUUUAUUUGUAUAAUAGAAAAUCUAUUAUAUCUUUAAUAAUUUUGUUAAAAUUAUUAUUUAAACAUUAUAUUUACUAUAUAUUAUUAAUUUUUAUUUUAUAAUUACUGUUUUUUUUCUACAGCAAUUGUAGCUUUUAAGGUUAAUCACCUCAAUCCCAAACAAGAUCUAAAACUGCUAUCUCUAUGUGUAAAUUCCUUAAAAAAAUCUUUUUUAAUUAAAAUUAUUUAAAUAAUUGAAGAUAAAUUAAUUUAUUUUUUAUUUGAAUGAAAAUUCAAUUAAGCAUUUAAAUAAGCUAUUCUCUCUUAACAAAUUUUUUACGCCCAUCUUGUUUCAUAAUUUAUAUUUGUAUUUUAAAUUUUAAUCGAAAGUACGUUUUGAGAAACUUUUAAGAAUUAAGAAUUAUGGAAACAAAAAUUAUGUAAUAAGAAGAAAAUAAUUUAAAUUCUUAAGAUUUGUAUGUAUUUAUAAAUAAAAACUUGCAAGAAAUACUCUUUUCAAGAUAAGAUUUAGUGAGAAAAUUAUUAAAUUUUAAUUUACGAAUUAAUAUUUUAUAAAUUAAACUGGGGGUAUCUUAAGGAAUAUAAUUCAAUUGAAUUCAGAAAGAGUGUUUAUAAGGAUUUUUUAGGGGUGUUAAAAGCUCCACUUAUUUACGCAAGGAAUGGGAAUUAGGGUAUUGGGUAGGAGUGUUCGCGGAUCGGACAUCAAUCCAUAUCCAAUCCAUGAUUUUGUAGAUUAUGAAUUUUCAAUCAAAUCCAAUCUACGGAUUGGUUAAACUCAAUCCAAAUCCAAUUCAUAUAUUUGUGGAUCGGAUGCGGAUUUGACUCAAUUCAUAUCCAAUCCAUCAUUUUGCGGAUUGAUCUGCAGAUUACAAAUUUUUCAUUUGGUCCAAUCCACGAAAUAAUAAAAUGAAAAAAAGUAAUAUAAAAAUAAUUUUACUACCAAUCAAAUUCAAAAUUGAAUAAGAUUUAAAUAAAUAAAUUAUUUAAAUAAAACUAAAAAAAUGCAUUAAAGUUAAAAUACAACACACCGAAAUUAAUUGUUCAAAUGAAGAUAAAAUAAUACAUUUAAAGUUUCAAAAUAUAAUACAUUAAAAUUAAUUGUUGAAUUAAAAUUAUAAUAAUACAUUUAAAGUAUCAAAUUAUGACACAUCAAAAAGAAAAAUAUUUGCUGCCAAUUUGUAUUUUGUACUUUAACUUGAACUAAAUAAACAUAAUUGAAAUGAAUAACAAAUAAAAAAAUUUUAUUGAAUAAAAAAAUUAACAAAUAAAAUAAUUUUGUUUAAUGACUGCUUGCACAGAGAUCAAGAAUCGUUGGAGAAGAUGGCCGAAGGAGAAGUUUAAAGCUAGUAAGAAUCGUUGGGUGUUGGUGGCUCUGUGCUUGCGACAGGGAAGGAUAGGAAGUCAAGGGUUUUUUGUGUGCUUGUUACGGGAAAGUUUAAGAAGUCAAGGUUUUUUGUUUUCUAGUGGCUGCUUUGGUGAAGUGGCAUUUAGGAUAAAUGUUUUGUUUGGUUUAUAAUUUUUUAUUUUGUUUCAGAAUUUUUACAACUUAUCUUUGUAUAUUUUAAUUAUUUAUGUUAUUUUUGAAUAAUGGAUAAGGUAUCUUAUGGUGUUAAUAUAAGUAUGUAAUUACAUUUAACUUACUUAUUUAUUAGUAAUGUCAUAUUUAUAAAUUUUUUAAUUAAAUAAAUAUUUUUUUAAAGAUUGGCGAAUUUUUACGGAUUUACAAAAGUAAAUCCAUAUCCAAUCCACCGCUUGUGGAUUUUUAAAUUUUUAAUCCAAUUCAAUCCACCAAUCCACGGAUAAGAUUUUUACGAACCAAAUUUUUACGGAUCGGACGAAUUGAGCUGAUCGAACCGGAUUCUGAACACCCCUACUAUUGGGUUUCACUUUGUUUUACAUGAAUUUGGGAAAAAUACACGGAUAGACAAGGGAACAGUCAUUGUUAAGCUGUGAAGCUUGUGGAAGAUACCAUUGCCUAUUUGCAGCUUAAACUCCUGGAGCUUUGCUCAUGCUUUCUCUUUCCCACUUUCUCAUGGAACAGAUGUAUACAUCAUGAAAUGAAAACAACAGCACAAAUUGCUGUCUCGUAAGAGAAACAGUCAUACAUAGUAGGUUAGGCCUCAUGUCCAUUAACUUACUAAUGAAUUUUAUGAAAAUUGGCUAUCUCAUUGAAAUUACAUAGGUAUUGGAAACCCUUACUCCAGCUGCAUCAUCUCAUCAGUGAAAGCUGGAUUUUCCAUUUGUUCUUGAGAUUCAUAUUAAGGCAGCAAAUUGCUCAUCCCAUACUAUCUAUGUAAUCCUGUAAAAGGGAAGGGCGUUUAGAUGUGGAAAAACCUUACUCCUGCCGCUGCACCUCAAACAGAUUGCGAUCACACAAGACUUAGUUCAUCAUUAGUAGUAGUUGGAGCUUCCAUUUGUUCUUGAGAUUCAAAGGCAGCAAGCUGCUUCCUCAGUGCUACUAAUUCUUCCCCGGCAUUGCAUAUGUAGGCUGAG